ensembl:lncRNA
CGGAAGUUCCGCCUCGUUAUCCGCGCGUGCGCAGUUUCCUGCGGAAGCGGAAAGCGGACAGAGAAGGUCGCCGCACGGCCUUUGCUUGUUUUUUUUCCUAGAGUAACCCUAAGCGCCUGCCUUCGCCACGCCCAUCUUCAGGGUCCGGCUGGUUCUGCGGCAGUAAUAUCCCAAUACCCCGAACUCCGCCCUAAAUAAACCCAGAGGCCGCCGUUUAGGUCAAGUAUUCGAAAUCGCUGUGAGGCUUGUCCUUGCCGUUUGGUUUUCGCCUUUGGCCCCGGAGACGCCGCCUUCCGGGAUAUUUUCAUGCUUAAAACUUAACCGUUAGUACCUGCGCCUGUGCCUUGUCAAGUCCCCGGGCGCGAGGGGGAUUCGGGCACGCCCACCUCCACCGCCUCACCCUGUCGACCCCUGGAGGUCGCGUCGACAGUUCCACUCCCGGAGAAGCCGAUUCCUCUCCCCGGUCCUGGGAUUCCGGAGAGCCCGCCCGACCCCUGAGACCCCCUCGCUUCCAGCCUCUCUGCCCUCGCGUCUCCUCAGGCCGAUCGUUCUGCCCCGCAGGCCUCCCUUCCUGAUACGUGGGCUAGGGGGAUCAGAAGAAGCAGUGACUGAGAGUGAAAGGCAAAGUCAGAAGUGGAAAACGAUGGGAGAACCGACGGGGUCGCCCAGGAUGGCUGAGGCACUUGCAAAGGGAUGAUCAACUUCUAAAAACUUACAUUGUCUGAGGAAGAAGCUGGAAAGAGGAAGAAAGGAAAGGCAACAGGAAUGCCUCUUUCUCAGACUGCUGCUGCUGCUGCUGCUGCUAAGUCGCUUCAGUCGUGUCGGACUCUGUGCGACCCCAUAGACGGCAGCCCAUCAGGCUCCCCCGUCCCUGGGAUUCUCCAGGCAAGAACACUGGAGUGGGUUGCCAUUUCCUUCUCCAAUGCAUGAAAGUGAAAAGUGAAAGUGAAGUCACUCAGUCGUGUCUGACUCUUCGAGACCCCAUGGACUGCAGCCCACCAGGCUAUGCCGUCCAUGGGAUUUUCCAGGCAAGAGUACUAGAGUGGGGUGCCAUCACCUUCUCCGAACAGACUGCUAGUGGGUAUAUAACAUCCACCUGAAGACUAGCAGGGGGGUACUCUUUCUGUCCCCUUCUGAUGCCUAUGUCAGAGGCUUUCUCUAUCUCCUUUAUACUUUAAUAAAACCUUAUUACACAAAUCUCUGAGCGAUCAAGCCUCGUGUCUGGCCCCAGAUUGAAUUCUUCUCCUCCGGAGGCCAAGAAUCCUGGCGUUUUUUCAGUCAGCAACAACCUUUCAAAUCCCUAUGGGAGAGAAACCCUACAAAUGUAAUCAAUGUGGGAAGGACUUUACGGAAAAGGCAACCCUUGCAAAGCAUCAAUGAAUUCAUACUGGAGAGAAACCUUACAAAUGUAAGAAGUGUGGAAAAGCCUUUAGUCAAAAAGCACAUCUUCAGCUUCAUUGGAGAAUACAUACAGGAGAGGAACCUUACAAAUGUAAUGUGUGGCAUGUGUUUCAGUCGAAAAUCACACCUUACAAGUCAUC